UCAGGAUGAACGCUGGCGGCGUGCUUAACACAUGCAAGUCGAACGAUGAUCCCCAGCUUGCUGGGGGGAUUAGUGGCGAACGGGUGAGUAACACGUGAGUAACCUGCCCUUAACUCUGGGAUAAGCCUGGGAAACUGGGUCUAAUACCGGAUAUGACUCCUCAUCGCAUGGUGGGGGGUGGAAAGCUUUUUUGUGGUUUUGGAUGGACUCGCGGCCUAUCAGCUUGUUGGUGAGGUAAUGGCUUACCAAGGCGACGACGGGUAGCCGGCCUGAGAGGGUGACCGGCCACACUGGGACUGAGACACGGCCCAGACUCCUACGGGAGGCAGCAGUGGGGAAUAUUGCACAAUGGGCGCAAGCCUGAUGCAGCGACNCCGCNUGAGGGAUGACGGCCUUCGGGUUGUAAACCUCUUUCAGUAGGGAAGAAGCGAAAGUGACGGUACCUGCAAGAAGAAGCGCCGGCUAACUACGUGCCAGCAGCCGCGGUAAUACGUAGGGCGCAAGCGUUAUCCGGAAUUAUUGGGCGUAAAGAGCUCGUAAGCGGUUUGUC
rnacentral:rRNA from 1 species